GUCCCCGUAGCUCAGCUGGAUAGAGCGUCCCCCUCCUAAGGGGAAGGUCGCAGGUUCGACUCCUGCCGGGGACGCCA
rnacentral:tRNA from 2 species